rnacentral:misc_RNA from 1 species
GAUGAAGAACGUAGCGAAAUGCGAUAAGUAAUGUGAAUUGCAGAAUUCAGUGAAUCAUCGAAUCUUUGAACGCACCUUGCGCCCUUUGGCUAUUCUGAAGGGCAUGCCUGUUUGAGUAUCAUGAACACCUCAACUCUCAUGGUUUGCCAUGAUGAGCUUGGACUUUGGGGGUCUUGCUGGCCUACGGUCAGCUCCUCUCAAAUGAAUCAGCUUGCCAGUGUUUGGUAGAGUCGCAGGUGUGAUAACUAUCUACGCUUGUGGUUUUCUGCCAGAUAACCUUCAGUGAUGGAGGUUCGCUGGAGCUUAUAAAUGUCUCUCCCCAGUGAGUACAGCUUUUUGAUCGUUUGAUCUCAAAUCAGGUAGGACUACCCGCUGAACUUAAGCAUAUCAAAAGCGGAGGA